rnacentral:rRNA from 1 species
AGGAUGAACGCUGGCGGCGUGCUUAACACAUGCAAGUCGAACGAUGAAGGCUGGAGCUUGCUCUGGCUGGAUUAGUGGCGAACGGGUGAGUAACACGUGAGUAACCUGCCCCAGACUCUGGGAUAAGCGCUGGAAACGGCGUCUAAUACCGGAUACGAGCUUCCACCGCAUGGUGAGGAGCUGGAAAGAAUUUCGGUCUGGGAUGGACUCGCGGCCUAUCAGCUUGUUGGUGAGGUAAUGGCUCACCAAGGCGACGACGGGUAGCCGGCCUGAGAGGGUGACCGGCCACACUGGGACUGAGACACGGCCCAGACUCCUACGGGAGGCAGCAGUGGGGAAUAUUGGACAAGUGGGCGAAAGCCUGAUCCAGCCAUGCCGCGUGUGUGAAGAAGGUCUUCGGAUUGUAAAGCACUUUAAGUU